rnacentral:rRNA from 1 species
AACGAACGCUGGCGGCAUGCCUAACACAUGCAAGUCGAACGAGACCUUCGGGUCUAGUGGCGCACGGGUGCGUAACGCGUGGGAACCUGCCUUUAGGUUCGGAAUAACUCAGAGAAAUUUGAGCUAAUACCGGAUAAUGUCUUCGGACCAAAGAUUUAUCGCCUUUAGAUGGGCCCGCGUAAGAUUAGGUAGUUGGUGGGGUAAUGGCCUACCAAGCCGACGAUCUUUAGCUGGUCUGAGAGGAUGAUCAGCCACACUGGGACUGAGACACGGCCCAGACUCCUACGGGAGGCAGCAGUGGGGAAUAUUGGACAAUGGGCGAAAGCCUGAUCCAGCAAUGCCGCGUGAGUGAUGAAGGCCUUAGGGUUGUAAAGCUCUUUUACCCGGGAUGAUAAUGACAGUACCGGGAGAAUAAGCUCCGGCUAACUCCGUGCCAGCCGCCGCAGUAACAC